GACGAACGCUGGCGGCGUGCUUAACACAUGCAAGUCGAACGCUCAGCCCGCUUCCUUGGUGGUUGAGUGGCGGCCGGGUGCGUAACACUUACGCGACCAUCCCCCCCCUCUGGGAUAACUCCAACUAAUUGGGGCUGAUACCGAUUGUGACCGCUAUCCUCAUGCUCUGGUUGUGGUAAUGAUUUCCGGCUGUGGAUGGGCGCGCAGCCUAUUCUCUUCUUGGUUGGGUAGUUGCCUACCAAGGCGCCGACGGGUAGCCGGCCUGAGAGGGUGACCGGCCACAAGGGGACUGAGAGACGGACCAGACUCCAACGGGAGGCAGUGGUGGGGAAUAUGGCGCAAUGGGCGGAAGCCAGAGGCAGCGACGCCGCGAGCGGGAUGACGGCUUUCGGGUGGUAAACAUAUGUCAGAAGGGACGAAGAGCAAGUGACGGUACCUGAAGAAGAAGCACCGGCUAACUACGUG
rnacentral:rRNA from 1 species